GACGAACCGUGCGAACGUUGUUCGGAAUCACUGGGUACGUUAAAGGGCGCGUGAGGCGGGCUGUCAAGUUUGGGGUGAAAUCCCGCGGCUCAACCGUGGAACUGCCUCAAAUACUGACGGCCUCGAGGAAGGUAGGGGCAUGCGGAACUGUAGGUGGAGCGGUGAAAUGACGUAGUAUAUCAGGAGGAACACCUAGCGGUGUAGACGGCUUACUGGACCAUAACUGACGCUGAGGCACGAAAGCGUGGGUAGCAAACAGG
rnacentral:rRNA from 1 species